GACAGAGGCCUCAAGCGUUAGGCGGAAUCACUGGGCUUAAAGCGUGUGUAGGCGGAUCGUUAAGUGCCUUGUGAAAUCCCACGGCUUAACUGUGGAACGGCUGGGCAUACUGCCGGGCUAGAGGGUGGUAGAGGCGAGUGGAAUUCCCGGUGUAGCGGUGAAAUGCGCAGAUAUCGGGAGGAACACCAGUAGCGAAGGCGGACUCG
rnacentral:rRNA from 1 species